rnacentral:rRNA from 1 species
GAGCGGAUGACGGGAGCUUGCUCCUUGAUUCAGCGGCGGACGGGUGAGUAAUGCCUAGGAAUCUGCCUGGUAGUGGGGGACAACGUUUCGAAAGGAACGCUAAUACCGCAUACGUCCUACGGGAGAAAGCAGGGGACCUUCGGGCCUUGCGCUAUCAGAUGAGCCUAGGUCGGAUUAGCUAGUUGGUGGGGUAAUGGCUCACCAAGGCGACGAUCCGUAACUGGUCUGAGAGGAUGAUCAGUCACACUGGAACUGAGACACGGUCCAGACUCCUACGGGAGGCAGCAGUGGGGAAUAUUGGACAAUGGGCGAAAGCCUGAUCCAGCCAUGCCGCGUGUGUGAAGAAGGUACUUCGGAUUGUAAAGCACUUUAACUUGGGAGGAAGGGCAGUAAGCUAAUACCUUGCUGUUUUGACGUUACCGACAGAAUAAGCACCGGCUAACUACUGUG